CCCAAAAUGGGUUUCACCAAACCUUUCCGGUCAAUUUCCGGCCAAAUAGUUCAUAUCCACCUUGAUUUGAAUACAUAUUAGUGAUCCUCUCAUCGAAACGAAUAAAAUGAUAUAUUGUUUGUUAAUUUUGGUGAAGAUUUGACUUUUUCGGCAACCGUGCACGGCGGCGGUCCGGCGACCGGCCGGCGAGGCUCCGGCAGGACUUCAAAGGCAGAAUGUUCUCCUCUUUGCGCGGAUCACGGAAAUCAAAUCCGAUUUUCGAUCGGUUUAUAAAGUACAAAAUGCGAGGACAAAAGCUAGAAGCAUGUGGCUAAAAAGGCAGUCCUUUUAAAGGACAAUAACGAACUGUAAUAGAAAGAAAGAAAAGCCCUAUGAAGUUGAGACACUUAUUGUAGAAGACGGUUAAUGAUAGAAAUAACGAUAUAAAUAUAAAGGUAGAGUUCCGCAAUUGUAUUCCAGUUGGGUUGUAAAUAAAUAAUAAAAGUCCAUAUUAAACAUAUGAACUGUAUUUUAGAUGCA